UACGAAGGGGGCUAGCGUUGCUCGGAAUCACUGGGCGUAAAGCGCACGUAGGCGGAUUUUUAAGUCAGGGGUGAAAUCCUGGAGCUCAACUCCAGAACUGCCUUUGAUACUGGGGAUCUUGAGUUCGGGAGAGGUGAGUGGAACUGCGAGUGUAGAGGUGAAAUUCGUAGAUAUUCGCAAGAACACCAGUGGCGAAGGCGGCUCACUGGCCCGGUACUGACGCUGAGGUGCGAAAGCGUGGGGAGCAAACAGG
rnacentral:rRNA from 1 species